GAUUUCUGGAUCGAUUUGCCUGUCCCGCCACGGUAACGUGUGUGAGUGACGGUGUGAAUCGUCCAUCCUUCUAGAUUGGCUGGUUAUGGUGCAAACUAUAAUUAAGUGGUCUAGAUCUAUUACUUUGAACAAAUUAGAGUGUUUCAAGCAGGCAUACCGCUAUGAAUACAUUAGCAUGGGAUAAUAAUUUAGGACUUCGGUUCUAUUUUAUUGGUUUCUAGGACUGAAGUAAUGAUUGAUAGGGACAGUUGGGGGUGCUAGUAUUCAGUAAGAAAGGGUGAAAUCUUUGGAUUUACUGAAGACUAACUUAUGCGAAAGCAUU
rnacentral:rRNA from 1 species